ACUGAAAUGAAACUAUUCAAGACUGGGGAUGGAAAUUUUUGGACGCUUUGGGAGUCUAAGGCUGGGAUUUUGGAGCAUAGCGGAUACGAGGUACAGAAUCAGGAAAUAACGAAGGAGAGGAAUAAUAACAUUCUGUCCUCAUUUGAAAUGUAAACAAGUCAGCAACAAUAACAGGCAAGAAAAAUAAUGAACAGAAAUAUUAACAGGAUGAAUGGGAAAGGAUGCUCAUUUGGAGCAUAAAGUUCUUAUACGGAUACAAUGGAGCAAAUAGGAAGCACCUGUAUUGCAGCUUCAAGAUGGCGGAAAGGUUUUGGGAGUCAGGAUGUGAUUCAUUCACUACAGGGCAUUUAACCUUAGAUCUGUUUUUCAUUUAUGUGAGUGGUCUCGCUGAAUUUCUAGUAAAUGGUGAUUCCCUAGGCUGUUGACCCUGAAGAACUGUGAUAGCAAUGUCACUGGAUUUCAAAGUUGCGGUUAGAUUGUCCCACGUUGGAGAUGGUCAUUCCUAAUGAAGCAUCUGAAAAUAAUUGUGCCGAGGGUACAAUCUUAUUGGAAUCAUGAGACUGUGAUGAUUAUCUUACAGUAACGAAAGCCAUCUUCCUGGAGAAGUAUGGCUCCAAAUGAUGGAGCAUUUUCCUUUGAUUAAUGUUUCCCAUGGCUAAAUGUUAGUGGUUUACACCAUUUACAGAGGCAGGAUUGCAGAGAGUUGAGUUUGGCUGUUAUUUACAAGACAACUGAACCAUAUUUUUGGCAUUCAUGUAGUUAAUAUUGCAACUUUGCCAUGUUGGCAAUUCGCUAUGGUAUGCCUAGUGCUAUAUCUGCCAUACCCUUCCACUCUCUUUACUGAACCCAGACUGAUCUCCUGGCUUGACUUUAAUGACAAAAAGACACUAAGUGCUGGAGUAAUUCAGUAGGUCAGGCAGCAUCUCUGGAGAAUGUGGAUAGGUGAUGUUUCAGGACAAAACUCUUCUUCAACCAAAAGACAUUGGAACAGAAUUAAGUCAUUCGGCCCAUCGAGUCUACUCUGCUAUUCAGUCAUAGUUCAUUUAUUUUUCCCUUUCAACAUUCUCCUGCCUUUUCCAAUAACCUUUGAUACCCUUACUAAAAAAGAACCUAUCAAUCUCUGCUUUA